rnacentral:rRNA from 1 species
CGGGGUGAGUAACACGUGAGCAACCUGGCUCUAAGAGGGGGACAACAGUUGGAAACGACUGCUAAUACCGCAUAACGUAUCGGGAUGGCAUCUUUCUGAUACCAAAGAUUUUAUCGCUUAGAGAUGGGCUCGCGUCUGAUUAGAUAGUUGGCGGGGUAACGGCCCACCACGUCGACGAUCAGUAGCCGGACUGAGAGGUUGAACGGCCACAUUGGGACUGAGACACGGCCCAG